UGCAGAAGAAAGAUCUGGAAGUGGGAGAAAUUUUCACUGUAUAUAGUGACUUCCACUUCCAGAUCUUUCUCUCUGUG
rfam:Macaca mulatta chromosome 9, whole genome shotgun sequence.